rnacentral:piRNA from 1 species
UGCUUUGCUUGGAAGUUAAGAACAUUC